CAUCGUGGUCCCGGCGUGAAUCGACAGGAGGGCUACAGCUAGAGUGGUGGGAUCAUGGUGCGAUCCAGAUGCCUCGGUCACCAGUCUUCCGAGUUGCACUUGUGACGUAAUUUCCUGUCUCGUAGCACUUAUAGCGUUCCCGUUUGUCUCUGUGAUUGUCCUCUUUAGCAAACCAGCUCGAAAACAAACAACACAACACAUUACAUUCUAUUGCACGCGCAGCAAGAACCUGCAAUGCAUAAAUUGGUGACCGGAAUAAAGUAGCAAUGCAAUCAAGUGUGCAUUUAAAAUCGACAU